rnacentral:rRNA from 1 species
AGCAGCCGCGGUAACUCCAGCUCCAAUAGCGUAUAUUAAAGUUGUUGCAGUUAAAAAGCUCGUAGUUGAAUUUCGGGAUCAGUAGGCUGGUCGUGCCACAGGUAUGUACUGGUCUCACUGAUUCCUCCUUCCUGAUGAACCGUAAUGCCAUUAAUUUGGUGUUGUGGGGAAACUGGACUGUUACUUUGAAAAAUUAGAGUGUUUAAAGCAGGCUAACGCUUGAAUACAUUAGCAUGGAAUAAUGAAAAGGACGUUGAUCCUAUUUUGUUGGUUUCUAGGAUUGACGUAAUGAUUAAUAGGGAUAGUUGGGGCAUUAGUAUUCAAUUGUCAGAGGUGAAAUUCUUGGAUUUAUUGAAGACUAACUACUGCGAAAGCAUUUGCCAAGGAUGUUUUCAUUAAUCAAGAACGAAAGUUAGGGGAUCGAAGACGAUCAGAUACCGUCGUAGUCUU